rnacentral:rRNA from 1 species
UACGAAGGGGGCUAGCGUUGCUCGGAAUUACUGGGCGUAAAGCGCACGUAGGCGGCUUUCUAAGUCGGGGGUGAAAUCCUGGAGCUCAACUCCAGAACUGCCUUUGAUACUGAAGAUCUUGAGUUCGGGAGAGGUGAGUGGAACUGCGAGUGUAGAGGUGAAAUUCGUAGAUAUUCGCAAGAACACCAGUGGCGAAGGCGGCUCACUGGCCCGAUACUGACGCUGAGGCACGAAAGCGUGGGGAGCAAACAGG